AGACCAAAUAUCUGUAGUAAAUAAAACCCUUUGGAGACAGUGUACCUACUUCUAAAAAUGAAGCCAACCUUGUCAUAUUGUUAGCUUUUAAGGUCACUGUAUUUUAACACUGUUAGCAUUUUCACAAAUUCUAAUAAAAAAAUCCUGGAAAUAAGUCUAACUUUUAACACACACACACACACACACACACACACACACACAGAGAGAGAGAGAGACACACACACAGAUAUAGAUAUAGAUAUAGAUAUAGAUAUAGAUAUAGAUAUAGAUAUGCAUAUUACCAAAAUAGUUUCUAACUGAAUAUUUAAUAACUUUGCUGUUUCGGAAUUGUUUCUUUUCCUUCAGUAAAUUUGAAAAUACUGUUGUAGUGAUAAGAACACAUUUAGUAAACAAAUGUAAGAAUAGAUGUGAGAGGUUCUAAAUGUAGGUAGAAAGCAGCACAAGUGAAGGAGCAUUUAUUGAAACUGGGGUAUUUCACAGCCGGGUUGAUAUCGCACCUGAAUUUUAGAGAGCAGUUAGGUUUGAAACUGAUAAAACGGGAAGAAAGCAAGUAGCUUAUCUAGGGCAGAAAACUUCUGGGGAGAUAACCAGCUCAGAAUUCCCAGCAGGUAUUACGGAAUGUGAGUCCUGGAGAAGUCAGCAAACGGAUGGACAAUUGGGAAACUUUCUCUGUGAAGAAACGAAAAACGCUGUGCAUAAAUAAGAUUGGUGAAGAUAACUGUGCUGGAAAAGAUAAACAAGUGCAGAAUAUUAGAGCAAAAACUGUGUUAGGGAGUAGGAAAAAGCUGAGAAGACAGCAGUAAAAGCAGGAGGAGUACAAGAGCACAUCGUGAGAGAGUGCAGGAUUUCCAGGAAGUGUUGACAGUGUCACAUGUUCCAGAGGAGAAAAAGAGGAGGAAUGGCAAAGGCUGAUUGACUUUGUCAGCUACUUACUUUAAAAAACAUUUGAGAAAGCCAGAAAGCAGAGGGGAGGAAGCUCCACCGUCAUGAGAAUGGGAAGCAGAGGCAGCGGCAGCGUGCACAGACAUCCUUUGAAGGUUUGUUAUAAACACAGAAACUGAUGUCUGGGAAAAGGCUGGAGUGCAAUGGCGCGAUCUCGGCUCACCGCAACCUCCGCCACCCAGGUUCAAGCAGUUCUCCUGCCUUUGUCUCCCGAGUAGCUGGGAUUACAGGCAUGCACCACCACGCCCGGCUAAUUUUGUAUUUUUAGUAGAGACAGGGUUUCUCCAUGUUAAGGCUGUUUUCGAACUCCUGACCUCAGGUGAUCCGCCCGCCUCGGCCUCCCAAAGUGCUGGGAUUACAAGCGUGAGCCACUGUGCCCAGCCCAAGCUGUACUUUUAUUUAAGUAUAAUUUAGUUAGAUAUGUGAACUCACUGAAAAUGUAUACACAAUUUUCUGUGUAUGUAUAAAAUUUGAUAUUUAAAUGUAUUUAUGGCAAGAGUAUCUGUAACUUUUAUGAACAUAUCAAGUGGACAUGAUCACAAAACAUGCAAUUUAUUACCAUAGAGCUUCAGAAAUACCCCUUCCAAAAAGUAUGUAUAAUGAUAUGAUACUUACAAUGGAGGCAACUAUGAUAUUUAACUGUCAGUAAACUGAAAGAAAAAAAUGACUCAAAAAGUUUGUAAAGAUGAUACCUUUCUCUACAAGUUUAGGCAAACACUUCAAUUUUUAAACAUUUUUUAACCUAAUUUUGUUGCUAUGGUAUUUUAUUUUCACUACUUAAUUAUUGGGUGCCACGUAAUACCUCAAAUGAACAAAUUAUCACUAAAAUUAAAAAGGUAGUUGACUAGAUAGGUAUCCUGUAGGAAGAAAAUAGGUCCCCUCAGAAUAAAUGAGAACUCACUGUACUUUUUAAUUCUUUUCAAAAAUGAAGGGGAAACAAUGGUGUUCCAAGAAAAACAAAGAUUCAAGGAAUAAAUAAAAGAAAAUAAAUAAAAAUAUUUUCAGAAAAGUUUGAGAGUAUUUGUUGCCAGCAGGAAUAUAUUAAAAAGAAAAAACUAAAAUAUGUGUUUCAAUUAGAAAGAAAACUAUUCCACAUAGAAAUGUAAAAAUGUAAAAAGGAAUAAAAAGCACUGAAAAGAGUAACUAUAUAAAUAUAAAUUACUAUUCAUGUUAAUAAAUAAUUAUUACAGUUUCCUAUGAUGGCCAAAAUAUGUACAUUGAUAUACAUGUUCAUGAAAUGCAAGAGGUGGGUGCGGAGUUGAUAGAGCUUAACAGUUUUAAAGAUGCUAACGGUAUUGUGAGAAUGGUCAAAAUAUUCGUUUGUUUUAAACUCCAUAAUACAUCAAAAUGCAUGCUGUAAUAUCUAUAGGAAAAGGUAGAAGCAUAGUAAGAAAUUAAUAAGACAAAAUUAAUUAAAUCAAAAAUGGAAUAAAAAGAACACAGAAGAGGUAGGUCAAAGAGAAAAUAAAAAGUGAGAUAUCAGCAAUACCAAUAAAUAUAAAUGGAUUAAAUAUGCUACAUAAAACACUAAGAUUAUUGGCCUUAAAAAAAGCAAUUUGUUGUCUUAAAAAUUACAGUUGUAUUCAGAAAUAUUGAAAUUGAGUGAAAAAUAACAUAACAAAAAAUUUAUCUAUAUACAUUAAUAUCAUGAAAAUUCAAUUUUAAGGUAAAACAAAUAGCAUUAAGAAAGAAAGAGAUGUAUAUUUUAUAAUGGCAAAGGUGUAUAAUUGAAUGAUUGUAUUGGUAACCUCAACUGUGCAUUUCCACCAGUAUCCAUGUCCUUUGCUGUGACUGUGAAAUUCAUUUAACUAAUUUGUUCGAGUAUAUUUUCCCAGCCCUAAAUUUGGGCUUACUGCUAUUAAUUGUCUUAGCCAAAAAUAAUGUUAGCAGCUUUAACAUAAAUAAAACCUUGAUGAAG
rnacentral:lncRNA from 10 species